rnacentral:rRNA from 1 species
UACGUAGGGCGCAAGCGUUAUCCGGAAUUAUUGGCGUAAAGAGCUCGUAGGCGGUUUGUCGCGUCUGCCGUGAAAGUCCGGGCUCAACUCCGGAUCUGCGGUGGGUACGGGCAGACUAGAGUGAUGAGGGAGACUGGAAUUCCUGGUGUAGCGGUGAAAUGCGCAGAUAUCAGGAGGAACACCGAUGGCGAAGGCAGGUCUCUGGGCAUUAACUGACGCUGAGGACGAAAGCAUGGG